AAAAAGUACAUUUGCAAGGCUAUUUUGUAGUGCAUGCAGUAUAGAAAGACACUAUUUCACAGAUCUUCUAUAAACCAAAUGACUCCAAUACCAAUUCCAGUGGUACUGCUGGGUGCAGUUAUACUUCUAGGAAUGGAUGUGUCUGGUCAGACGACCAUUAUGUCUUAAUUCUUUGCAAGCAACAAACAGAAUGUAUGUAUGUCCUGGAGAGAUUGUUACCUAUGUCUGCAAUGGAACUGGAGAUCAAAUUAGGCUAUCAGCACCACCAUACGUUACUGUGGGCCUUCCUUUGUCGUAUGCGCGUGGAGACCUUCCUGGAUUAGGAAGAAUAAGAAAUGGCUCUAUUGUAUCAAAUCUUAUAUCAACUGAUUCACCUUUGAUGGUAGCAGACUUGAUAGUGCAAAAUCCUUCAUUGCCGGAGUUUUCUGUUCGUUGUACUGUUCCACCUUCUGAUGAAGCUGUAGCUCAGCACAAACCUUCAGGUACUCUAAGACUCAUGCAUGCAGUCAGUAAACAAAGCCUUUGGAGUGUAAUCUGCUCCUGGUAUAAUUACUCACCAUCCACUCAGUCACGGGAUAUGACGUACGUCUACAUUGAUAAGUGUGGUACAUGUGGUCGGUCACACAUAAUAUUUAUUAUUUAUAGGUCCUCCUUUAGAUGUGAUUUCUCCUAUGAUUGGAUAUUUUCCCCCACCAAACGAACUUAACACUGCUGGUGUGCGAGUUAAUUGGACGCAUAAUGAUUCAAAUUCAAAUUAUGACCCUAGUCACUUCACGAUCCAGGUGUUUGAGAGUAACACUAGCACUGCAAUUAAAUCCAUCGCUAUUUCUGCAGAAAGCAAUAGUUUCGAAGCAAUACUUGCUGUACCCUUCAGUGCUCCCAUGAAAGUCUAUGCACGUAUAACAGUGACGUCCAAGUGUAGCCAGACAACCAAUGGAGUUAUGACCAACACUAUUCAGAUAAAUGAAAGUAUAAAGACAGCAUACGUGUUCUGGGUACUCCUUUCAGCUGCAACAAUUGUCCUAACAAUAAUCUAGGUGUAUUAUUAUGCCUGCACUUUGCUGUGAACCAAAAUUUGAAUGUAUGCUAUUAAGAGACUAUAAUACUUUUAGUGUAGAAAAAUUAUUGUACUAUAGCUGUUAAUAAAUUCACUGAUGUUUUUAUACAGGAACUAAAUUUCUGUGAU